rnacentral:snoRNA from 16 species
UUAAUGAUGAAAUAAUUUAUCCCUGUCUUAGUAUUUCUGUCUUGCUGAGAAAAUUGUUGGCCUGUGGUAAGGUCUUUAACCUGACA